GAUGAACGCUGGCGGCGUGCCUAAUACAUGCAAGUCGAGCGGUAACACUUCGGGUGACGAGCGGCGGACGGCUGAGUAACACGUAGGAACGUACCCCAAACUGAGGGAUAAGCACCAGAAAUGGUGUCUAAUACCGCAUGUGCUCUUCGGAGUAAAGCUUCGGCGGUUUGGGAACGGCCUGCGUCCGAUUAGCUAGUUGGCGGGGUAAAUGCCCACCAAGGCGACGAUCGGUAGCUGGUCUGAGAGGAUGAUCAGCCAGACUGGGACUGAGACACGGCCCAGACUCCUACGGGAGGCAGCAGUAGGGAAUUUUCCACAAUGGACGAAAGUCUGAUGGAGCAACGCCGCGUGCAGGAUGAAGGCUUUCGGGUCGUAAACUGCUUUUCUGAUUGAAGAUUAUGACGGUAAGUCAGGAAUAAGGGUCUGCUAACUACGUGCCAGCAGCCGCCGUAAAAC
rnacentral:rRNA from 1 species